UACGAGAGGCCCAAACGUUUAUUCGGAUUUACUGGGCUUAAAGAGUUCGUAGGCGGCUUGGAAAGUGGGGUGUGAAAGCCCUCGGCUUAACCGAGGAAUUGCGCUCCAAACUACCGAGCUUGAGUAGGCUAGAGGUGAGCAGAACUGAUGGUGGAGCGGUGAAAUGCGUUGAUAUCAUCAGGAAUACCGGAGGCGAAGGCGGCUCACUGGGACCUAACUGACGCUGAGGAACGAAAGCUAGGGGAGCAAACGGG
rnacentral:rRNA from 1 species